rnacentral:rRNA from 1 species
AUUGAACGCUGGCGGCAGGCUUAACACAUGCAAGUCGAGCGGGGGAGGUUGCUUCGGUAACUGACCUAGCGGCGGACGGGUGAGUAAUGCUUAGGAAUCUGCCUAUUAGUGGGGGACAACAUUCCGAAAGGGAUGCUAAUACCGCAUACGCCCUACGGGGGAAAGCAGGGGAUCGUAAGACCUUGCGCAACUGGAGCGGCCGAUGGCAGAUUAGGUUGUUGGUGGGAUAAAAGCUUACCAAGCCGACGAUCUGUAGCUGGUCUGAGAGGACGACCAGCCACACUGGGACUGAGACGCGGCCCAGACUCCUACGGGAGGCAGCAGUGGGGAAUUUUGGACAAUGGGCGAAAGCCUGAUCCAGCAAUGCCGCGUGCAGGAUGAAGGCCUUCGGGUUGUAAACUGCUUUUGUACGGAACGAAAAGCUUCGGGUUAAUACCCUGGAGUCAUGACGGUACCGUAAGAAUAAGCACCGGCUAACUACGUGCCAGCCGCCGCAGUAAGAC